GUUGACCUCGGAUCAGGUAGGAGUACCCGC
rnacentral:rRNA from 1 species